rnacentral:rRNA from 1 species
UACGAAGGGUGCAAGCGUUACUCGGAAUUAUUGGGCGUAAAGCGUCCGCAGGUGGUUCGUUCAGUCAUUGGUCAAAUCCUGGGGCUCAACCCCAGAACUGCCGAUGAUACUGGCGGACUUGAGACCGGUAGAGGCAAGCGGAAUUACUGGUGUAGCGGUAAAAUGCGUUUAUAUCAGUAAGAACACCAAAGGCGAAAGCAGCUUGCUGGAACGGUUCUGACACUCAUGGACGAAAGCGUGGGGAGCGAAAAGG